CUCUACUGAAAUUUCAUCUUCCCUCUACUUGAAAAUUUCAUAUUCCCGCUUGUUUACAAUUACAUCCCCAAAACUCCCCCUCCCCAAAUCCAUCUCCUUCCCAACCGCAUAUUUCCCCUCAAGCUUAAUCAAUCGAAGUCGUGGUCUGCCAUCACAACACCACCACUUCUUGGUGGUUAUGGUGUUGGUCAAAAUUUGUAUUAGAAAUAAAUAGAUCUGCAAGCUUACAUACUUGUUACCAGUGGUCAUCGGAACCCUAGCCGCCAAUUCCGUAGGUGGCUGGUAGGUCUUCAAACACCACAACCACCAGAACCCGAGGUCUUACAACAUGCCUUUGUUUCCCAAGCCUUUGGUUCUUACUUCUUCAACGAUUUUAAUAGUUCAAAACUCAAAAUCACAAUCCAAUCACAGGUAUAUAUAUACUUGUAUAUUUUUUACUUUGUUUGUAAUGUCUUAUAUUAAGAGGGCUGGCAUGAAAUAUGGGAACAAACAUUUUGUUAUAGACAAGAGCAGGUGUGAUACCUACAAGGCUAAAAGCAGUUUCAUCCAUUGAAUUAUGCCAACACAAAUUCCCUUCUAACUAACCUUGGUGUGGAAGGCAAGCAGCUAUUAGCGGUAGGUUCAUGCUGUACAUGGUUACUUGAGAAGCCUGGGUUGGUUUGUUGCUAACAUGUGCCUUGCUGAGGGAAAUUGCUUCAAAGAAAAUAAAAAAAAGUUUUACCACAAGGUGUCACAUUUGGUCUUGGUUGGGGAAGAGUAGAGGAAUACUCGGCUGCAGAUAUGGAUGGUAUUUGCGAAGAUUGGUUGACUUAUACGGCUACCUUUGUUAAGUGGACCAUAUUUAGGUGUUGAAGAAUGUAUUGACAAACAAUUUUUUUUUUGUUAACGUUAACAUAUUUGUAAUAUACUUGACAUGUGAUUAUGUAAUUGGUU
rnacentral:lncRNA from 1 species